UUCUCUUGCUUAACGGUUAUGUCACUUGUCGCCUGCCUGACAUGUAGUAAGGGACUUUGGUACCACAGUGCUACCGCAGGGCCAUUCCAUUGCAGUGCAAGAAAGACACCGACAAGACAGAAAUAAGCUACGCUUUUUCCACUCAGCUGCACUCUACAACAACCAGCUCUCAGCAAGGAAUGUUCAUUGUGUAAAGCGUGUGGUAGACACAUCCUCCAUUGCCAUGGAGACAGCUGUGCUUGCAGAGGUUACCAACCAAUUUCCAUGUCAGGAAACGAAAGUGUUCCCUACGUCAAGCGAUUAAGAGUUGAUACUUUCUUCACGUCGCAGAAACACCUGUGGAAGUUUGAUUGGCUAUCGGAAAUCACGACAAGGUCGGACCAAGUCAUGUCUGGUUGUUACAAGACUGAAUGCAAGAUGUCCCCAGCAGCCUUACAUUCCUUAGAUGUUAGUUGGUUGACCCUGUAACGCAAGAUGUCCAAGUCGGCUCCAUACAUUAGCUGGUCCCUCUCGCAGCUUCAGCAUCACAGACUUCAAGGCUAGAGCAAGGCUCGAAAUCUUGACUGCAACUUUCUUCAGCUGUUGGCUAAGAAUAUUUGGACAAGUCAUAUCUUAUAAAUUUCAAGUUCAGCAAAUACUUAUUCUGAAACGCUUGUUGCAUAAGUUUACAAGAGAAAAGGCCAUCUUUCUCUGUAAUAAUAGUGGUCUUUGAAAUCAGAGACACAAAUAUUGUUCUGGUAACAUUUUCAAACUGUUGUAGGUUUGUAAUUUCAAAAGGCUGGCAUUUGGCCAUAUAUUUUUCAAUAAAACAGGGAAAGUGGAUUUUAUUUGAUAUCAAGUCUCUUCAUUUUGUUGUGUGUCUUUUAUGGUAAUUUAUUUUUAGAUAAAAAUAAUGAACCUUAACAGAAUUUACUCUGGAAGCUAAUGAAAUAGCUAUAAACGGUUAGGGUCCUAUAUACAGAUUCACAUUUCCCUAAAAGUGGUAUAUUUCAAGUUGGCCAUCAGAAAGCGAUAAAUGCCCUAAAAAGUCAAACUUUGUAGGGAAAAAUGUCAAAGCAUUACUUGGAAAAUACUUCAGACCAGUCUGUAGGGUUUGUGCAAAAGAUGUCAGGUGAUGUCCUUGUAUGAAACUCCGCUACGAACUACGUGUAUUUUUAUUGGAAAACGUGUUCUUUGGGAAAUGGUGAUUAACAAAGCUUAUGGAUUUAAAGGAAAUGGUACGAAAAUUGAAGCAAACGUGAUAUGUGCACAGUCACAAUGUAAUUGUAAUCUGCUAACUAAGCAUUUAAACCAAGGCUUGCAUUAGGAAUUCUUUCACGUUAAGACCGCGAACUGAAGGCCCAAACUGUGCCACACUAUACAUUUAGUCGAAUGAAUCGCCGUACUCAUGGGUC
rnacentral:misc_RNA from 1 species